UACAUGGGGUGCAAACGUUGCUCGGAAUUAUUGGGCGUAAAGCGCGUGUAGGCGGCUUUGCAAGUCGGGUGUGAAAGCCCUCGGCUCAACCGAGGAAGUGCGCCCGAAACUGCAGAGCUUGAGUGCCGGAGAGGAUGGCGGAAUUCCCCAAGUAGAGGUGAAAUUCGUAGAUAUGGGGAGGAACACCGGUGGCGAAGGCGGCGACCUGGGCCAAUACUGACGCUGAGGUGCGAAAGCGUGGGGAGCAAACAGG
rnacentral:rRNA from 1 species